rnacentral:misc_RNA from 1 species
GAUAGAACAGCAAGAAACGUCACAGAAUUCGGGGAGACCAUAGUUCCCUUCUGUUCCAUCUUAUUGAACAGUUCCAGUGCUUCAUGGCCAUGUCCAUGCCUACCAUAUGCAUCAAUCAUGCUAGUCCAAGAAACAACAUCUUUAUGAAACAUCCCAUCAAACAAUGAUCUAGCAUUCAAAAGUUUUCCACAUUUUGCAUACAUGUCUAUUAAUUUGUUGCACAGUUGAGUAUCUG